UACAGAGGUGCCGAGCGUUAGGCGGAAUCACUGGGCUUAAAGCGCGUGUAGGCGGCUCGGUAAGUCUGCUGUGAAAGUCCAGGGCUCAACCCUGGGAUGCCGGUGGAUACUGUCGAGCUCGAGUCCGGAAGAGGCGAGUGGAAUUCCUGGUGUAGCGGUGAAAUGCGCAGAUAUCAGGAGGAACACCAAUGGCGAAGGCAGCUCGCUGGGACGUGACUGACGCUGAGACGCGAAAGCGUGGGGAGCGAACAGG
rnacentral:rRNA from 1 species